rnacentral:lncRNA from 1 species
GAGCUGGGCCGUGGCAGACGCUGGAGCAGGAGGGGGUCGGGUGGCGGCUGGGGCCGGCUCAGCAUGUGGUAGCAGGCCUCAGUCUGGGCGCUGUCCGAGAAGUGAGCUGGCAUCCCCCGGAACAGUGCAGGUGCCACGCCCCCAGCCAAGACAACCUUGCUCAAGUCAUAGAGCUCUUCCUCUGGCUCCUUCUCUUUCUUCUUCUUCUCCUUCUUCUCAGGAGCCCGGAGCAGGGACAGCUCCUCGGGGUGCCGGAUGCUGAGGAGGCGGCAGAUGGCAGCCACAGCCUGGAAGAGGGGCUGGGAGAAGCUGGCACGGAGGCGCAGUGCGCGGCGGUUGGGCAACCGAAGGAUGACGGGCCGGUGCUGGGGCCCAAAGAAGAGGCGUGCGUCGGCCAGGAUCCCGUACUUGUCCAGUGUCCAGUGGGUCUGCAGCAGCCACUGCCUCUUCUGUUCCCACCAAAUAGCAUGGUCUGACCAGUCCUGCUUGCGAUUGAUCUGCUCCACAAUCUUCAGGAGCACCCCGCCGAUGUGCGACUCCCCAGUGACCCGCAGGGUGACCGACUCGGCCUCUGGGUCCUCCUCUCCCACAAACACCCGCAGCUCCCAUGACGAGUCGAUGUAGUCCCCGGAGGCUGUCUUCAUCCCCGCCAUGGCUGCGGCUGCUGCUUUCCUGGCAAGGGCUGGGGGCUGCAGGUGGGUCUCGGGCUACACCCCUGUGGGCCGUGGGCUUCCUGCCCUCCUUUCUCUUUGGAGCUUCCUUCAGGGCAGCCCUUGCUUGUGCCUUAUCACGAGCAGGGCGGGUUCAGCCCCUCCCCAGGGCGGGCUGGCGCUGGGUGCAGGAAGCACACUGCCAGCCCACAGAGGGUUCCAGGGGCCCCCCCACCUUUGUCCCCAGAGAGCACAGGAAGCUAGGGAGAGCGGGGCUUAGCGACUCAACACCAUAAAAACGCCCCCUUCCUCAUUUGGAGGGAAGCUCAGUGCAAACUCAACAAGUCCCCCGGCUGUGUGUGUUCAGGGCUAGGUCCACUUUUGUGGGAAGUGUCUGCCAUCCUCAGCC